rnacentral:rRNA from 1 species
AUCGAACGCUGGCGGCAGGCCUAACACAUGCAAGUCGAGCGGAUGCAGGGAGCUUGCUCCUGGAUUCAGCGGCGGACGGGUGAGUAAUGCCUAGGAAUCUGCCUGGUAGUGGGGGAAAAUGUCCGGAAACGGGAGCUAAUCCUCCAUACGUACUGUGGGAGCAAGUGGGGCAGCUCGGGACUUAACGCCAUCAGAUGAGCCUAGGUGUGCUUAGCUAAUAGGUGGGGUAAAGGCCCACCAAGGCGACGAUCCGAAACUGGUCUGAGGGCAUGGACAGGCACACGGUAACUGAGACACGGUCCAGACUCCGACAGUGAGCAGCGGUGGAGAAUAUUGGACGAGGGACGAAAGCCUGAUCCAGCCAUACCGCGUGUAUGAAGAAGGACUUCUGAUGGGAGAACGCUUUAGGUUGGAAGGAAGGACAAUAAUUUAAUACCUGGCUAUUUUGACGUUACCAACAGAAUAAGCACCGGCUAACUUCGUG